UACGUAGGUGGCGAGCGUUGUCCGGAUUUAUUGGGCGUAAAGCGCGCGCAGGUGGUGCGGUAAGUCUGUCGUGAAAUCUCCUGGCUCAACUGGGAGGGUGCGGUGGAGACUGCCGGACUGGAGGCACUCAGAGGCCGGUGGAAUUCCCGGUGUAGUGGUGAAAUGCGUAGAGAGUCGGGAGGAACACCAGUGGCGAAGGCGGCCGGCUGGGGGUGACCUGACGCUGAGGCGGCGAAAAGCGUGGGGAGCGAACCGG
rnacentral:rRNA from 1 species